ensembl:snRNA U6 U6 spliceosomal RNA
GUGUUCGCUUCAGCAGCACAUGUACUAAAAUUGGAAUAAUACAGGGAUUAGCAUGGCCCCUGCGCAAGGAUAACAUGUAAAUUCAUGAAGCAUUUCAUAAUUUU